AGGCCCAGCCCAGCCCGGGGCCCCGCGGCCCGGCCUCGGUGGGGCACGUCCCUCGGCUCUGCUUUGGCCGGGGCCCAGCCGGGAUCCUGCGGCCUGGCCUUCGCCGGCCCCCCAAGGCGGGCUGCCUCCUGCAGACGAGCCCCAGGCCACGGCUGCCUGCCCAGGUCCCCUGGAGUAGCCGAUUCCCACAACCCAGCUAGGCCUUGUCCAGGCCCUGCAGUCCAGGCAGCCCCCCAGCCCAGCCUCGGCCAGCCCUAUCUUCACCGCCCCAACAGAUUUAGGCAGGAGGAGAACAAACACCUGGCAGGAGCAAGCAGGUUCCUGCAGGCACAGGAGAGAGUAGAGGCUGCUGCCACCGGCCAUUGCUGUGGAGGCAUGGCACUAGGAAAGCAGGCCAUGCUGGGUCUCAUGGUGUGAGUACGUUAACUAGCUCCACUGUGGGAUUUUUGUUACUCUUAAUGUCACAUCCCACAUAAUUGUAACAUCUGGGAAAAGAAGGAAGAAACAACCUUUGCAAUCUUGGAGUCAACAGAGAGACCAGCUCCCUCCCUUUGCAGCUGUUGCUGAGGAAGACUCCCCUUCUGAUAGCUCAAGGUUAGCUGGCUCCUGUCGUCUAUUUUCCCUGGAAAAAACGUUACAAUGUGUUUGACAGCUCACAGCAGCCAAACUACAAUGAGACUGAUGGUCUGCAUGCAUGUUGGUGCACGUGUGCGGUUCUAACAGUGGUGGAACACCCCCCCCUUAAGCAUUGCACCAGAGCGUGUCAAGGUUAUGAGUAGUGUUAAAUUCCCUAUGUACAGACACCACAAAGGUCAUUGUAUUUUAAGUCCCUGAUCCUAAAUCUUGUGUAAUCUCUUCCUAUUUUGCACUAGUGAACAGCAGAGUGGGUGGGCUCAAAGUCGUCUGCCAAGUAUUUCUUUGGGGCAGCAAACAUCGUCUGCCUCCUGCCACAGUUACACCCUUCUUGCUCUGCUGAAAUUAAUAUUCUGUUUGCAAGGCCUGCAGAUCUGAUCUCUCUAGCCUGCUUCCUUUGAUGUGCCUUCAAGAAGUCAUGUUUCUUUCUUUUCUCCUGUCUGCCUGACCAGGAUGGUUUCUGCAGUUUUUUCUCCCUCCCUCCUGUCCAUGUCUCUCCCCUCAGGUGGCUUCAGAACAACUUUUAGCUAUCGUCACUGUUGUUGGUUCUCCUAACUUACCUGUCCUAAAGAAUCUCAGGCAUUCUUGAAUGGGAGGUUGCAGGGCUACAUAAAAUAAUAAUAAAUAUCUCCCUUCCCAGCAGGUCUGAAUUAGCAUCCUCUUUCUAAGAGUCUCUUAGGAUGUUAAUUGUCAUCUGCCCCCUGGGAUGUGUCUAAGUAAACCUUCUACCAGCAAGGUCUAUUAGCAUGUUAAUGUCCUCCUCACUCCUGGAAGUCUCUUUGUAUCACUGGCUUAAUCGUCAAACAGCUUAAUUUACAGACACAAAAUUAAACUGGUCGCAAUUAA